GCUGGGACUGAUCUCCAGUACCUUUGCAACCUCUAGGAAACCUUUGCAAGUAUCUUCAAAAUUAACCUGCUCAGCAUAGUUUUGAGGAAGUGCUUCAAUGGUGCUGUUGCUCAGCUCCAUUGAAAGGUCGUAACAGCGCAGAUUGUUGUUUAUCAUUGCACAUAAAGGUUCCAGACCAAUAUCAGAAGCAGGCUCCUCAAGUCUCUUCCUUUCAGCUGCUUGAAAAUCUAUCAUCACCUGAAUUAUUGCCAAAGAAAUCCUAUAUAGCAUCACAUCAGUGCUAUUGUCCCUAACAAUUUGAAUUUGCUCUCCUAGAAUCCUGAACAGAUCAACAGCAGCUGGAGUGUACAGCUUUCCAUCGUCCGUUUUCUUUGGUGGCUGUACCUUAUCAGCUUCCAGGAUAUUCAAGUACCAUUUCCUUGUUGUAGCUUGCAUUCUCUCAACAUAUGAGUUCAUAAGGGGAUCCAUGGCACCACUCUCCGAACAAACUUGUGCCAGAGACUCAUCAACACCAAGGCCAAUCAGAUUAUCUUGGUAUUCAACUACCCAACCAGUUACCUUUAAAAUCUCUAUAUUUGAUAUUUCAUUUGCCCUUUCACUAAGCAAUCUGAGCAUCUGAAUGAACCUCUCAGUAUACAGAUUUACCAUCAGUUGAAAUAUUUCAUAUCUGCCAGCACCAAAGAUCAAAUUAAUAUUUUAUGCUCAUGAAAUGUAUCAUAUGUUUUGUUUGUAUCAUUCUGUUACAAACAAGUGGCUGCAAAUCCAAAAUACACAGAACAAAUCAGGGAAUCCCACAUUGGCUGGCAAAUAUAGGAUGUUUCACAUCUUUUUCGAAACCCUAAUGGCCAGCUGCAAAAGUAUUUCUGUACAGUGGUCUUACAAAAAACCAAAUUGAGCAAAACUCUUUUUGUAAAAAUAGCAGCCUAAUAGGGCAUUGACAAAAUUACAAGGAUUCUAAAAGCAUUUGGCAUAAUACAAAAGAAAAGAGGAUCAAGCAAAUUCGGGGUGGCACAUAAAACAAUCUCAUCAUACACCACAAUGAGAAUGCACAAAAGUAGGCAUAAAUUAAAAAAAUAAGGCAAUCUAUAGUUUGAAAUAAUAGCUGAAAUCAGCAACCGUCCACAUAGAUUAACAAAAAUAAACAGAUUGCAUUGGGUAAACCUUGGGGGAAAACAUGGGGCUACAUAAUCAUAAAUAUCUCCAAGCUCUUCUCCAAUCUAAAUAUGGAAAACAGAAAAAGGAAACAAAUGACAUCAGAAAGUUAGCAGUAUUUGGAGCCCAUAGAAAUGGAGAAACAUAGAAUUUAAGUUCAUUACAUUUGCAAAGAGAUGCUUAAAACUCUCAUACAAUCACAUUAAAGUAAUUAAACCAUAAGAUAGAGAAGAAAUAAGCAAGAAAAACACAUUGAUUUUAUGGUAUGUAUGCAUGCAAUAGCUGCUUUCGCAACUCCAAAGCAUAUGAACACAAGCAUGCACAAGCAAGAACAUUCGUGCAUGGACAUUAGCAAAUAUGCAUCCAUUAUCAAUUUUUUGCAUGUCCAAAUGGAGUGUUCAAACUUGCAUUUUUAGAAGCUACAUAUCCAUUGUAACAUCAUGCCAAAACUGACAAUAUGGAUUUUUUAGAAUAUAAAUCAUAUUUUUAUAUGUCAGAUACUUCAGAAUAGUAUUUUGGGACUGCUAAUUUUUGAACAUUCAAGCAAUCUCAUUUCAUGGGACACCUCUCUUUUGAAUAGAUUUCCAUUCCACAGUAAAUUUUGAAUAAAUUUAGUGCAGAAUAACAAACCUGCAUCAAUGUGACAAGAAUCUCAGGCAAAUUAUAUUAAAGAAGAUACAUAAACUGACAGAAACUUCCAUCUCAAGGACCUAGGAUAAAUUCAGUAUUUAUGUCACACAAUUAUACAUAUCGAUAAUGCAUACCGUACGGGCUUCUUCUAAAGCUGCUUUGAGGUCUUGAAAGACAAACUCCGUUAGCAGCCUGUUGAAACGUCCUUCAACUGACUUCCUAAUUUGCUCAUAGCAUUUAUCCUUGUACCCCUUUCCCUGAACCUUUAACUUCUGUUGUGUAGGCUUUUCAGAAGAAGCCAUUGUAGAAGUAGAUUUUGUGGCAGAUCUGCGAGGAUUUGCAAUUGUUGCCAUUGCACCACCUCCU
rnacentral:misc_RNA from 1 species